rnacentral:rRNA from 1 species
CUGCUGUGGGAUUUACUAGAAGACUAACUACUGCGAAAGCAUUUGCCAAGGAUGUUUUCAUUAAUCAAGAACGAAGGUUAGGGGAUCGAAAACGAUCAGAUACCGUUGUAGUCUUAACAGUAAACUAUGCCGACUAGGGAUCGGGCGACCUCAAUUUGAUGUGUCGCUCGGCACCUUACGAGAAAUCAAAGUCUUUGGGUUCGGGGGGGAGUAUGGUCGCAAGGCUGAAACUUAAAGGAAUUGACGGAAGGGCACCACCAGGAGUGGAGCCUGCGGCUUAAUUUGACUCAACACGGGGAAACUCACCAGGUCCAGACAUAACUAGGAUUGACAGAUUGAUAGCUCUUUCUUGAUUUUAUGGGUGGUGGUGCAUGGCCGUUCUUAGUUGGUGGAGUGAUUUGUCUGGUUAAUUCCGAUAACGAACGAGACCUUCCCGUGCUAAAUAGCCCGGCCGGCUUUGGCUGGUCGCCGGCUUCUUAGACGGACUAUCAGCGUUUAGCUGAUGGAAGUUGGAGGCAAUAACAGGUCUGUGAUGCCCUUAGAUGUUCUGGGCCGCACGCGCGCUACACUGACAGGGCCAGCGAGUUUAUCACCUUGGCCGGAAGGUCUGGGUAAUCUUGUGAAACCCUGUCGUGCUGGGGAAAGAAGUUAAAAAAUAUAAAA